GAUUAAUCCCAUCUCCGAGCCGCGGCGCCUAAAGGGUCACACCCCAGGGCGUCCGGCCAACGGGUACCGCCGGAAACGGCGGCGCCUCCCUUUUGGAAAGGAGACCCUGGGGCACACCU
rnacentral:ncRNA from 1 species